rnacentral:misc_RNA from 1 species
AUUGGUUGUAUUUUGGCACCAAAAACCUCAUUUCCAUUCUUUCUAUGAGAUUUAAACCCUCAAUGUAUAUAUUACGUCUUACUUCUACUUACUUUAAAAUCCUUACUCGCAAGAAUCCUUCACAAGUCCAACUUUUGGUUAACUCUACUAAGACGGCGCGAGGCACAAAGAACAAAGGAAUAAUACUUCAUCAUGUACAAGGUCAUAUUUGUAAUUUCAGUUUGUCAGUACACUUUCCAUCCACCUUUUAUUAUUUUCUCUCCAAUUUGGAG